ACAAACUUGGUCAUUUAGAGGAAGUAAAAGUCGUAACAAGGUUUCCGUAGGUGAACCUGCGGAAGGAUCAUUACCAUAAGAUACACCAAUCGUGUAGUGGACUAGCAUGCUACUACUACUACCUCUCGCUGCCGCAAGGUGGUGGUGUGGUGGUGGUAGUGCAUGUGUAUAACAACAGAACCAUUAGUUUAGUUUCAAUAGCAAUAUUGAUAGUACAACUUUUAACAAUGGAUCUCUAGGCUCUUGCAUCGAUGAAGAACGCAGC
rnacentral:misc_RNA from 1 species